UGGCGCGUAGCUCAGCGGUAGAGCACCACCUUGACACGGUGGGGGUCGGCGGUUCGAGACCGCCCGCGCCAACCA
rnacentral:tRNA from 2 species